UGUGGUGAGGUAGUAGGUUGUAUAGUACUGUAUUACACCACUUAAGGAGACACUGUAUAGCCUGCUAACUUCCCAUA
rnacentral:pre_miRNA from 1 species